GACGAACGCUGGCGGCGUGCCUAAUACAUGCAAGUAGAACGCUGAAGAGAGGAGCUUGCUCUUCUUGGAUGAGUUGCGAACGGGUGAGUAACGCGUAGGUAACCUGCCUUGUAGCGGGGGAUAACUAUUGGAAACGAUAGCUAAUACCGCAUAACAAUAGGUGACACAUGUCAUUUAUUUGAAAGGGGCAAUUGCUCCACUACAAGAUGGACCUGCGUUGUAUUAGCUAGUAGGUGAGGUAACGGCUCACCUAGGCGACGAUACAUAGCCGACCUGAGAGGGUGAUCGGCCACACUGGGACUGAGACACGGCCCAGACUCCUACGGGAGGCAGCAGUAGGGAAUCUUCGGCAAUGGGGGCAAACCUGACCGAGCAACGCCGCGGGAGUGAAGAAGGGUUUCGGAUCGUAAAGCUCUGUUGUAAGUCAAGAACGAGUGUGAGAGUGGAAAGUUCACACUGUGACGGUAGCUUACCAGAAAGGGACGGCUAACUACGUG
rnacentral:rRNA from 1 species